UGAAUGAACAUGGCAGGAAAGGCUGUCAACACGGGGCAAUGAGCAGGCACCAUUUCUGCAAAGACUCAUCCUUCUUUACUUUGCUCUUACCUGUUCAAAGUAAUCCGAAAUUAUGUAUACAGGUACUGUUAAAACAGAGCUGUAUUUAUAUAUUGUUUUGUCACCAUUAGUUUACACGUCUUUUUUUCCCCCUCAAAUAUUAAAAAUUUUUUAACAUGGUAUAAAUUUUGUUGCUUACUCUGUUUAUUCUGUUAAGUGUAGUUUGAAGUAAAAUCUGGAAAUCAUAGAGGAAAUUAGUGCUCUACUUUUAUCUGCUGCACAUUCAUAUACCACUAUUAUUUAUUAUACUACUGUCUAAAUUUGCACAAAUAUCGACUAGUAAUUUCGUAAAUCUGAAAACCACAAUUCCCAGGUGACGACCAUGACCCUAGAAAAAACCUAGAGAAAACAAUCUCAUUACGAGACAUACCUUGCAAUAGAUGUUUGUUUAACUGGAAAUCCACAAGAGCAGCUGCCCAGUGCAAUGGUACAUGUUUGCUUCUGAAUCUUUUCUCAAAGAGACUAUUUAAACAUGUUGAUGAACUGAGCUGGAUUUUUCCCCACCUCCAUUCCAGCAAAACAAGGAGACUCAGAAGAUAAAGCUUGUUUUGUUAUUGCAAGCAGUGCUAUGUGGGAUAAUAUUAAUUGUGAACCUACGGUGGCAGAGUUUGUCAUAGCCUAUGUGAACUUUGCUGUGGCUUCCUGACAUCUGUAGCCCUUCUGUUUUUUGUGUUUGUUUGUUUGUAUUUUCAUGGCUGAUUGAUCCAAGGGAACAUUUCUAUUUGACAUCACAUAGUAAUUCCUCAUCAAUGGAGCUUGAAAUAAGUGGGCAUUAAAGAUUGAUAUGAUAUUGUAUGGAUUUACUGUUGAGUAUGCACCACACACCAGCCAAGAUAAUGGAAUACCCUGAGUGUUGAACAGAUAUAGAAAAUGACUAAGCCUUUCUCCCAGAUUUAUUGGUACAAAUGGUCCCUUUUUAAGAGUUAACUUCAAGUCAAAUCUGCCAAUUCACCUCUCUUCCCUUAUUUAUUUUGGAAAUGUAUUUGUUUUUUGGGGCUUUUGGGGCUUUUUGUUUUUUGGCAAUGCUUUUGGCAUUGUUUUUAGUUGGUUCCCCCCCCCCCAGUUAUUUGAUUUAAGAGAACAAAGAUAUUAAAUAAUCUUUGGGUAUUUUGCUUACUGGAAAUACUCUGUGUAAGUUCUUUUACUAUUCUUUUCACCAUUACUGCAGUAAUUUUUCCAUAGAUUAUCGUUACAGGUAUAUUUUACAAUAAAGUAAUGAGCAAAACAACAGAAACACAUCCAUUCUAUUAAUAAUGAACUACAGCUUUUUGGCUGAAAUAAACAAUAAUAUUAUUUAUAACUCACAUUACAUUCCAUAAACUAUGUUCUCAUCUAUAAAGAGACUAUAAAUGACAUGGUAGGGUUCCAUAAUAUCUUUUUUCUUUUUUUUUCUCCAGUGACUUUCCUGAUGACCUUUCUUUUAAUUUACAAAUAAACCCUUGACUUUCUUGACUGCCAGCACUGAAAGUCCACCCUGGGAUCUGAGAUCAAGCUGUGUCGUUUCUGCUUUAUGCCAAAAUAGACUCCGGUUCACCUCCUUAGUGCUGAGGUGGCUCUGCAGGGCUGGCAGGAAUGUAAAGCAAUAACAGUACUUCUGCCAGUAAAAAGAUGAAGUGAAAGAAUUCUCUCAGAAGUAGGAAGGUACCAAUUUCCAAGUCAGCUUUAUAGAAAACAUCUGUUCUUUGAAACAAAUGCUCAUAGUAAUGUUGGGAUGGGACAUCUCAUUGCUCGAUGUUCCUGCUCAACCUUUUUCCUUUUGAUCUUUUCAGUUCAGCCCAUCUGAGGUGCUUGUGGUUGUGGUUGUACAGCCUUUCUCCCUGUCAGCACUGCUGGACUCGGCUGUUUCUGUCCUCUUCUAAUUGUUUGUACCCCUAUGCUUGUGUUGAUACUAGGACUGCUCAGUGUAUUGAGCAGCAUGGACUUCUGUGGAGGUCCCAUGUUUAUCUCUUUGGAGCCAGGUCCCAACCCAGCUCUGCAAACAGUUGGGCUGUCACAAAUAUAUGCUCACCCUUCUGCUUCUGUA